UCCGCGCUUACAGCUUAUUUACAUUCAAUAAUACAAUAUGUUCUGAACAAAAUGGAAAUGCCUGUAAAUAUUUGUUACUGAGCUAAGCAACUAAAUUAGUAAGUUUUGAAAUGUCAAAGAUUGAUUAAUAGUGUGUUUGUUAUAAUAGACAUGAAAACCACAAAACUUAGGUGAUUUGUUGUUUAAACUAUGCUACUCUAAUUUUACAGUAAUUUGUACGCACCUAUGCUUAUAACAAGCUGGGAAAGUGUGACCUAGGUGAUUUGUUGUUUAAACUAUGCUGCUCUAAUUUUACAGGAAUUUGUACGCACC
rnacentral:lncRNA from 1 species